CUGGCCUCAAAUCAGGUAGGA
rnacentral:rRNA from 2 species